CUAUUUAUUUGUUGUAAAUAUAGAUGUAUAGCUUUAAAUACAGUGUCUUACAGAUCUUAUGUCCUUGUGUUAUAGAUACAUUCGUGUGAUCUCUGUUAUUGCUGCCUACCUACCUACCCAGUUUUGGAAAGAAACAGCCAAAGGCACAUUCACUACUGUGAAGAAGACCAUUGUGUUUCUGGAUCUAUCUGGAGGAAUCCUCAGGGUUUGGUCAGUAGAUUGGAGCCUGAGGACGAGGGUGAACCCCAGCCCACCGGCCUUCAGACUGAGAUCAACAGGCUUGAAGGAGAGUCACCCUGGAACAGUAGAAGGGGGAACAGCAGUUGUAUCACUCGACUGAAGACAAAAGCUAUGUAUUUAGCCAUAUUUUGGCAAAAUGUGACUGUCAGCAUAUGGAUGUAAAGUAAGAUGUGAAUUAUAAUGCAAAAGUGGUUUGACAAGUUUCACAGAAUUUGGAAUUUGUUGAUCAAUUUCAAUUCCUGGUCUCUAUCCGAGUCCAUAAGCUCCUGUUACCAGACACACAUUUUCAUGCACAAGCCCAGAAAUAAUUUAGCCAAAAUAAUAUGGUGACCUUUUCUUCCAACCGUUUUGAUUCGGCAUGAACUGUGGUCCUGGGAACGGUAAAUUUAAAUCAUGUAUGGGGAACCUCUGCAAUUUGAAAUGACUCAUAAAUACAAAAAUCAAAAAAAGACCAAUCUCAGCUGAAGACAUGCAGCCAAAGGGAGGAGCUGUGAGAACUGGAAAGUGUAAACUUUCUCGGCAUGCAUGGAAACUACCAGAGGUAAGGAGCAAACAUCUGACACAUCAUCAAAGAGAAGCAGUUCCAGCCGUCGCAUUAGAGAGGUUAGUGUGAUGUAUGUGCUCAAUAAUUUAGUACGGCUUUGGAGGAUGUUAUAAAACUGAAAAGGCCCCCGACAGGAAAAAAUCUUCCCAACCAUGCUUCGAAUUUUACAACCACAGAGUCAAAAUGAGUAUACAAUAUUCCGAACCAAACCUUCACGGUAGAAAUGUUACGUUUAUUUCUUCUACCUUUCAUGUAGAUAUUUUGCACAACGGAAUGGGGAGACCUUUAGCUUCCGGACUAUGUAUAAUUUGGCCGUGUUGUGUGUAGAUGGAGUCCAGUACAGACUAAAACACAUCUCAAGUAGUGCUACCAAGGCCAAAGUGGCGUAGGAGUGGGGCGGUGGGUUCUAAAAGUUAAUCCGAGCUGACCAGACCCUCAGUCCAAUUGAGCCGUGAGAGUUUAGUACUCCGAAGCUAGACAAGACGAUGUUUACUUUCCUCCAGAAAGAAAGAAAAUGCUUUUUAUCCAGAUUAUUUUUACUCUCUUACUUCAGACGACCAGAAAAGGGUUGAACUGAAACAGAGAGAAAACUGCCUGCAGGAAGGUGGACAAAAUGUAUAAACUCCUACUGUAAGGCACCAAACUUCAAUUUGCAGUCAACCUUUAUUAUUCAAAUAUAUUUCACUCACAGCAGUUACGUAUAUCACCAUUUUUAUUUCAAUAUAAUUCCAAUAUUUUCCACAUUUAAGCAGGCACAUCAUAACACAAACCACAUGGAGCAACUCUUCUGUUAAUAGCUUUAUUAUUUUUGCAGAGGGAAUUUUAGGUUAUUUAAACUACAUUUAAAGAGUUUGAAGUGAGAAUAACAGUCACUGAACACUACAUAACUGAAUUAGACUUAUUGAACUAAGCAGUGGUACCUGGAGAAUGGGUGGGGACGGUUCUCUAUGUCUCUUUCUUACCCAAGACCGUGCCUCUCCUCCGUAUAAUCAAUCUGCCUUGAACAAGUUUCAUUUAUUCAUUUAUAAAUUUAGCCAUACCCCAUACUUUUGUUUUGUGCAGGACCAUCAGAUACCUGGAAAAAAUAAGCGGCAACUCCUCUACCAAUCUGCUGGCAAACAGCAUAAGGCUUUACGUAUAGCGGAGAGGUCAGGUGUGCAGGCAAGCAUGAAAAUGAAUGUGAAUGAGGGGAGUGCUGAAAACAAAAAAAAGACAAAACGAAAAGCCUACUUGAAGUUUCAAAUAGCUGGUGGGCAAAUCUCUACCACUCUGCAACAUAAAAUAAAAUAUAAUUGUGUAAUCAAAUUAAACUGUAGCUCUAUCAGAUAUUUGAUUAUUCAAUUUUUUUUCUUCAGCCCAUAGGAGAUUAAGUAAAGAUUUGUAUUGCAUGAGACACAGGGCACACUUCGAACUUUGUGUUUAUGAUCACAGCAGAACGUGGCUAAUUAUCAAGAUUCAUUAAUCUGAUAAGCCUUUGUUCAUAGCAGCACUAACAGUUUCAUUGUUCCCUGAUUUCACAGUAAGAAUCGAGCCUCGCACAGGAAACACAAGAGCCCUGCUGAUUUGAAUAUUGUUCUAUUUAAUGCAUAGACAUCCACCUGCAUGGAAACAGUCCUUUCUACCUGAACGACCGCACAAAGGGCUGAGUUAACAGAAGAAAAGGAAAUCGUAGAUAAGGCUGUACCUCACUGGGGGGUCUGUCUUAGGUAGUAUUACGCUGAUUAGUAGCCCCUGAAGCAGAUGAGCAGGAGGCUAAUUACGGCAACACCCUCCACUCCACUUAAAAAUCUUCAGAUAUUGUGCAUUUUCUUUGCUUCCUCAUUUACCUAACAACUGUUUUGCUGUCACCAGUUGUGUUCUAUAUAUCCCACUGUGGACCACACGGAUGUCUUGAAAACUUUUAUUUUUUUGUCUCACUGGUCUGGUUUCACUGUGUCAUCAUUAUCAUUGUUAUACUAAAGGAAUCUAUGUGUGGACAAUUUGGAUUUUGUCUGAGCAUACAUGGUCAGAAAAUUAGUUUUAGGCAGCCUCUGGUGGUAAUAGUAUUAUUUAUGUGAGCAAAGAAAGAAGUUAGGUAGCGUAUUGUAAAUUGCGGUUAAGUGGAUGGAUGGUACGUCCAAAGACAUGACGCUCACAUAGGAGACAGCUGUGCCUUUCUGUGUGAAGCCAAUAGGUAUUUAACCCUAACCCUGCUGUUUUCUUAAACCUAACCAAGUAGCUUUUUGUGCCUGAACCCCAAAAAAAGCC